rnacentral:rRNA from 1 species
GAUGAACGCUUGCGGGAGGCCUAACACAUGCAAGCCGAGCGGUAUUAUUUCUUCGGAAAUGAGGGAGCGGCGUACGGGUGCGGAACACGUGCGCAACCUGCCUUUAUCUGGGGGAUAGCCUUUCGAAAGGAAGAUUAAUACUCCAUAAUAUAUUGAACGGCAUCGUUUAAUAUUGAAAGCUCCGGCGGAUAGAGAUGGGCACGCGCAAGAUUAGCUAGUUGGUGAGGUAACGGCUCACCAAGGCGAUGAUCUUUAGGGGGCCUGAGAGGGUGAUCCCCCACACUGGUACUGAGACACGGACCAGACUCCUACGGGAGGCAGCAGUGAGGAAUAUUGGUCAAUGGGCGCAAGCCUGAACCAGCCAUCCCGCGUGAAGGACGACUGCCCUAUGGGUUGUAAACUUCUUUUGUAUAGGGAUAAACCUACUCUCGUGAGGGUAGCUGAAGGUACUAUACGAAUAAGCACCGGCUAACUCCGUGCCAGCAGCCGCCGUAACAC